rnacentral:rRNA from 1 species
GGUUGAUCCUGCCAGUAGUCAUAUGCUUGUCUCAAAGAUUAAGCCAUGCAUGUCUAAGUAUAAGCAAUUAUAAAGUGAAACUGCGAAUGGCUCAUUAAAUCAGUUAUCGUUUAUUUGAUAGUAACUUUACUAGUUGGAUAUCCGUAGUAAUUCUAGAGCUAAUACAUGCAAAAAAACCCGACUGUUUGGAAGGGCUGUAUAUAUUAGAUAAAAAAUCAAUGCUCUUCGGAGGUUUUUGAUGAUUCAUAAUAUCUGUUCGAAUCGCACGGCUUCAGUGCUGGCGAUGGUUCAUU